rnacentral:rRNA from 1 species
AUUAAGAGCAUGUCACCGAGAAACGAAAUCCUUCCUUUCUCGUCCGAUCACCGAAGUCAAGAUGCGUUGGGCACGGUUAGUACUUAGAUGGGUGACCGCUUGGGAACUCCGUGUGCUGUUGGCA